AAGUCGUAACAAGGUUUCCGUAGGUGAACCUGCGGAAGGAUCAUUACACGUAUCCAACGUCCUGUGAACCUUAAGUCCCCUCUUGCAGCCCAUUGGAACAGCAAUCCCGGUAAAUCAUUGCCAAACAGUUUUGAUUCGGGACCUCUGUCCAAAAGGAGUGCGUGGAAGCAGAGGCAGGCUUCCCCAAGCAGUUAGUGAAUGACAGUGUCACUGACCGUGUAAGGAUAACGCCACGGUUGCUAGAGGGUCACCACGCCCCUUAAUCACUCCACUUGAAAAUGCCCCGCCCAGUGGUAACGCGCUAGGUAAAAAAAACCGAACAACUGUUAACAAUGGAUAUCUUGGUUCUC
rnacentral:misc_RNA from 1 species